UUUAAAUUAUUUAGUUAGUUCCCUAUUUAAUGGAACAACAAAUUCGUGCAUGUUGUUAGGGAUGUAAGUUAGAGUAUAAGUAAGACCAGUGGCAACUUGUCACAUUCAAACAUUUUAAGUUACGACAUGUUGUAAUGUUUGCCUCUCUGAUGUUACUUUACCUGGAACCAAAUAUUGAACAGCUGCGAUAUUUUGUGAUUUCUCCAAUGCAUUUGACUGCAUGUUACUAUUUUUACUAUUGUAUGCUUCACACUUACCUUUCUGACGUACGACGCUUGCGGAUGAUGCUUAACGGGCAUGAAAAACAUUCUAAGUCGAUCAAAGAGCUGAAUGCCAUCAGUGGACGCCACUCCCAUAUAGAGAAAGAUUCCAAACAGUACCGCCAUAGGCACCAGCUGGAGAAGUCUAGACAUAAAUACUGAUAGGCCUGAAAUCAAAAUAAAUUUUAAGAUUUGCUUUCCAUCGGUACUCUAAUUGUGGAUCAAUAUCAAGAUCAAGAGUAGUCAAGCCCAUCGAAACUUUCUGGCCCAAUGCUACUAUUGGAAUCGAAAUCGUGAACACUGUAGGCCCCGCUCUCUUCGUCAUCGGACUCAUAAGUCUCUGAAUUCUCAGAUUCUAAUGUUAAUAAUAAAUCAUGGACCUGAUCACCCAGAGGAGGAGCUGUCUGUGUAAACGUGGAAGGAUCCAAGGAUUAAGGAUUUAUAUAGCAGCAGCAGCAAUGAGAACUCAGAAUGAAAUGUUAACAUAUAUUUUUCGAAGAGCUUAUGAAUUUUUUUUGUAAAAAUUAAAGUUUUUGUUUAUUAAGGUUAGGUCCAUCCUUGCUUCCUCUUGCUUCAGGCUAACCAGGAACAUCUACAACAUGAAUGUUAUGUAACCAAAAAAAAAUUUACUUUUUUUUUCGAAAUGUGCUAUAAAUUUAGGGCGCGCGUGUUUUAUAUAAAUAUAUAUCUUUUAUUUAAA